UGGUCUUAGACGGUUGCUUAAGGGGGCUGAAGGGGGCAAGGAACAGCAUAAUUUCUGGAUUCUCGUGAGGCAAGGAGAAAAGCCACUAGACUCCCUGGAACCAGCGUAAGCUGGCUGAUGGAGAAACCAAUGCAAGGACCAGUAACCCAGCCAAGAGGUGUGCUUGAGCAAGGGCCCCAGUCAGAUGGUGGAUAUGGACGAUGGGUGACCCAGAGGCUGAUGGACUGGACCCUCACAAUGGUCAUGGACCCCAGUACUGAGCAGCAUGCUGUCAGUCUGUGGGAGCAUUCAUUCUCAUGCCUGCAAGUUCAUAUAUUUAUCCCUCCCAGACUGUCGCCAUCCACAAAAUAA
rnacentral:lncRNA from 1 species